GAUGAACGCUGGCGGCGUGCCUAACACAUGCAAGUCGAGCGAGAAGGUUAUGACGGAUUCUUCGGAUGACGGAUUAACUGGAAAGCGGCGGACGGGUGAGUAACGCGUGGGUAACCUGCCCCAUACACAGGGAUAGCCAUUGGAAACGAUGAUUAAUACCUGAUAACACAUUUUGAAUCGCAUGGUUUAAAUGUCAAAGAUUUAUCGGUAUGGGAUGGACCCGCGUCUGAUUAGCUAGUUGGUAAGGUAAUGGCUUACCAAGGCGACGAUCAGUAGCCGACCUGAGAGGGUGAUCGGCCACACUGGAACUGAGACACGGUCCAGACUCUACGGGAGGCAGCAGUGGGGAAUAUUGCACAAUGGGCGCAAGCCUGAUGCAGCAACGCCGCGUGAACGAGAAGGCUUUCGGGUCGUAAAGUUCUUUUAGGGAGAAAUGACGGUACCUAAGGAAUAGC
rnacentral:rRNA from 1 species